UGGGGAAUAUUGGACAAUGGGGGGAACCCUGAUCCAGCCAUGCCGCGUGUGUGAAGAAGGCCUUAUGGUUGUAAAGCACUUUAAGCGAGGAGGAGGCUACUAGUAUUAAUACUACUGGAUAGUGGACGUUACUCGCAGAAUAAGCACCGGCUAACUCUGUGCCAGCAGCCGCGGUAAUACAGAGGGUGCGAGCGUUAAUCGGAUUUACUGGGCGUAAAGCGUGCGUAGGCGGCCAUUUAAGUCAAAUGUGAAAUCCCCGAGCUUAACUUGGGGAUUGCAUUCGAUACUGUAUGGCUAGAGUAUGGGAGAGGAUGGUAGAAUUCCAGGUGUAGCGGUGAAAUGCGUAGAGAUCUGGAGGAAUACCGAUGGCGAAGGCAGCCAUCUGGCCUAAUACUGACGCUGAGGUACGAAAGCAUGGGGAGCAAACAGGAUUAGAUACCCUGGUAGUCCAUGCCGUAAACGAUGUCUACUAGCCGUUGGGGCCUUUGAGGCUUUAGUGGCGCAGCUAACGCGAUAAGUAGACCGCCUGGGGAGUACGGUCGCAAGACUAAAA
rnacentral:rRNA from 1 species